UUGAGUCCAGCUCUUCUUCUGCCACAGUUGGUUUGGCUGUUAGUUUGGCUGUUUGCAUCCUGAUUAUAUUGUUACUUGUGUUUUUUGUGUGGAAACGCAACACAAACAAGACCAAGAGAAAGCACAGGGAUCAAACUGAUGCAGGAACAAGAGAGACGCUAAUGCCAAAUGAAACCAGCCAGAGUUUCCAGACCUUGAAGGCAGAGCUCACUGAGGAGAAGCAGCAGAGUGAGGAUGCAAAGAAGAAACUUCAAGCAGAGUUGAACAACAAGGUAAAAGAGG